rnacentral:rRNA from 1 species
UACGUAGGGGGCAAGCGUUGUCCGGAAUCAUUGGGCGUAAAGCGCGUGUAGGCGGUCCGGUAAGUCCGCUGUGAAAGUCCAGGGCUCAACCCUGGGAUGCCGGUGGAUACUGUCGGGCUAGAGUACGGAAGAGGCGAGUGGAAUUCCCGGUGUAGCAGGUGAAAUGGCGCAGAUAUCGGGAGGAACACCAAUUGCGAAGGCAGCUCGCUGGGACGUUACUGACGCUGAGACGCGAAAGCGUGGGAGCAACAGGGAUAAGAUA